rnacentral:rRNA from 1 species
AGUGAACGCUGGCGGUAGGCCUAACACAUGCAAGUCGAACGGCAGCACAGUAAGAGCUUGCUCUUACGGGUGGCGAGUGGCGGACGGGUGAGGAAUACAUCGGAAUCUACUUUUUCGUGGGGGAUAACGUAGGGAAACUUACGCUAAUACCGCAUACGACCUACGGGUGAAAGCAGGGGAGCUUCGGACCUUGCGCGACUGAAUGAGCCGAUGUCGGAUUAGCUAGUUGGCGGGGUAAAGGCCCACCAAGGCGACGAUCCGUAGCUGGUCUGAGAGGAUGAUCAGCCACACUGGAACUGAGACACGGUCCAGACUCCUACGGGAGGCAGCAGUGGGGAAUAUUGGACAAUGGGCGCAAGCCUGAUCCAGCCAUACCGCGUGGGUGAAGAAGGCCUUCGGGUUGUAAAGCCCUUUUGUUGGGAAAGAAAAGCAGCAGGUUAAUACCCCGCUGUUCUGACGGUACCCAAAGAAUAAGCACCGGCUAACUUCGUG